rnacentral:rRNA from 1 species
CGCUCGACAUCAGAGUUUGAUCCUGGCUCAGGAUGAACGCUAGCUAUAGGCUUAACACAUGCAAGUCGAGGGGAAACGGCAUGAGAUGCUUGCAUCUUAUGGACGUCGACCGGCGUACGGGUGAGUAACGCGUAUCCAACCUGCCCGCGAGUAGGGGAUAACCCGCAGAAAUGCGGACUAGUACCCUAUAUGCUCACGAGAGGCGCCUGCCUUGGUGAGGAAAGAUUUAUCACUGACAGAUGGACAUGCGUCCCAUUAGCUUGUUGGUAGGGUAACGGCCUACCAAGGCAACGAUGGGUAGGGGAACUGAGAGGUUUAUCCCCCACAUUGGUACUGAGACACGGACCAA